rnacentral:ncRNA from 1 species
AGCUCAAAUUUGAAAUCUGGCCCUUUCAGGGUCCGAGUUGUAAUUUAGAGAGGAUGUUUCGGCGAGUGCUCCCGUCUAAGUUCCUUGGAACAGGACGUCAUAGAGGGUGAGAAUCCCGUAUGUGAUGGGUUGCGCGAGCCAUGUGAAACUCCUUCGACGAGUCGAGUUGUUUGGGAAUGCAGCUCUAAAUGGGAGGUAAAUUCCUUCUAAAGCUAAAUACCGGCCAGAGACCGAUAGCGCACAAGUAGAGUGAUCGAAAGAUGAAAAGCACUUUGGAAAGAGAGUUAAAAAGUACGUGAAAUUGUUGAAAGGGAAGCGCUUGCGACCAGACUUGCCCGCAGUUGCUCAUCCCGCCUCCUGGCGGGUGCACUCUUCUGCGGUCAGGCCAGCAUCAGUUCGAGCGGCCGGAUAAAGGCGCCGGGAAUGUAGCUCCUCUCGGGGAGUGUUAUAGCCCGGCGUGGCAUGCGGCCUGCUUGGACUGAGGAUCUCGCUUCGGCUAGGAUGCUGGCGUAAUGGUCGUAAGCGGCCCGUCUUGAAACACGGACCAAGGAGUCUAACAUCUAUGCGAGUGUUUGGGUGUCAAACCCAUGCGCGUAAUGAAAGUGAACGGAGGUGGGAACGCUUCGGCGUGCACCAUCGACCGAUCCUGAUGUCUUCGGAUGGAUUUGAGUAAGAGCAUAGCUGUUGGGACCCGAAAGAUGGUGAACUAUGCCUGAAUAGGGUGAAGUCAGAGGAAACUCUGAUGGAGGCUCGCAGCGGUUCUGACGUGCAAAUCGAUCGUCAAAUUUGGGUAUAGGGGCGAAAGACUAAUCGAACCAUUGGAACUACUACUAGGUGGUUAAGAGGGGGCAGCGGUGCCCCUUAGUUCCCCCGUCCGGGGCGACACCGUCAAAUUGCGGGGACACCCUUAGAGCUCGAACUACCGCGGCCGGCCGAAAGGUUUGGCGCAGCACCUGGCUAGCAGCCACGGGUAUGGUAACAACGUUCGAGAUUGGGCAACCACGCAGCCAAGCCCUAACCCUCCCCCCAGCGGGGAGGCACGGGUGCAGUUCACAGACUAAAUGGCGGUGGGUACGCUGGAAGCGUGCCUAAGUUAUAGUCGAUUCCCCUCCGAAAGGUGGGUGGU